CUACGUGCCAGCAGCCGCGGUAAUACGUAGGGUGCGAGCGUUAAUCGGAAUUACUGGGCGUAAAGCGAGCGCAGACGGUUACUUAAGCAGGAUGUGAAAUCCCCGGGCUUAACCUGGGAACUGCGCUCUGAACUGGGUAGCUAGAGUAUGUCAGAGGGGGGUAGAAUUCCACGUGUAGCAGUGAAAUGCGUAGAGAUGUGGAGGAAUACCGAUGGCGAAGGCAGCCCCCUGGGAUAAUACCGACGUUCAUGCUCGAAAGCGUGGGUAGCAAACAGGAUUAGAUACCCUGGUAGUCCACGCCCUAAACGAUGUCGAUUAGCUGUUGGGCAACUUGAUUGCUUAGUAGCGUAGCUAACGCGUGAAAUCGACCGCCUGGGGAGUACGGUCGCAAGAUUAAAACUCAAAGGAAUUGACGGGGACCCGCACAAGCGGUGGAUCAUGUUCUUUAAUUCGAUGAUAACCGAUAAACCUUACCAGGUCUUGACAUCCUUGGAAUCUUUCAGAAA
rnacentral:rRNA from 1 species